rnacentral:rRNA from 1 species
UGGGGAAUUUUGGACAAUGGGCGCAAGCCUGAUCUAGCAAUGCCGCGUGCAGGAUGAAGGCCUUCGGGUUGUAAACUGCUUUUGUACGGUACGAAACGGCUCUGGUUAAUACCUGGGGCUAAUGACGGUACCGUAAGAAUAAGCACCGGCUAACUACGUGCCAGCAGCCGCGGUAAUACGUAGGGUGCGAGCGUUAAUCGGAAUUACUGGGCGUAAAGCGUGCGCAGGCGGUGAUGUAAGACAGAUGUGAAAUCCCCGGGCUCAACCUGGGACCUGCAUUUGUGACUGUAUAGCUAGAGUACGGUAGAGGGGGAUGGAAUUCCGCGUGUAGCAGUGAAAUGCGUAGAUAUGCGGAGGAACACCGAUGGCGGAGGCAAUCCCCUGGACCUGUACUGACGCUCAUGCACGAAAGCGUGGGGAGCAAACA